AUUGAACGCUGGCGGCAGGCCUAACACAUGCAAGUCGAGCGAGAGGCGGACGGGUGAGAAAUGUCUGGGGAACUGCCUGAUGGAGGGGGAUAAAUACUGGAGACGGUAGCUAAUACCGCAUACCAUCUGAGGUGUCCAGAUGGGAUUAGCUAGUGGGUGGGGUAACGGCUCACCUAGGCGACGAUCCCUAGCUGGGCUGAGAGGAUGACCAGCCACACUGGAACGGAGACACGGUCCAGACUCCUACGGGAGGCAGCAGUGGGGAAUAUUGCACAAUGGGCGCAAGCCUGAUGCAGCCAUGCCGCGUGUGUGAAGAAGGCCUUCGGGUUGUAAAGCACUUUCAGCGGGGAGGCGUUACCCGCAGAAGAAGCACCGGCUAACUCCGUGCCAGCCGCCGCGGUAAUUC
rnacentral:rRNA from 1 species